rnacentral:rRNA from 1 species
GAUGAACGCUGGCGGCGUGCCUAAUACAUGCAAGUCGAGCGAACAGACGAGGAGCUUGCUCCUCUGACGUUAGCGGCGGACGGGUGAGUAACACGUGGAUAACCUACCUAUAAGACUGGGAUAACUUCGGGAAACCGGAGCUAAUACCGGAUAAUAUAUUGAACCGCAUGGUUCAAUAGUGAAAGACGGUUUUGCUGUCACUUAUAGAUGGAUCCGCGCCGCAUUAGCUAGUUGGUAAGGUAACGGCUUACCAAGGCAACGAUGCGUAGCCGACCUGAGAGGGUGAUUGGCCAGCCUGGCACUGAGACAGAGUCCAGACUCCUACGGGAGGCAGCAGUAGGGAAUCUUACGCAAUGGGGGAAAGCCUGACAGUGCAACGCCGCGUGAGUGAUGAAGGUCUUCGGAUCGUAAAACUCUGUUGUUAGGGAAGAACAAAUGUGUAAGUAACUAUGCAGGUCAUGACGGUACCUGAUCAAAAAGCCACGGCUAACUACGUG